AAAGUGGCAGAGGAGGCGUCACGAUCAGGAAGACUUGUUCCAGGGCGUGGCUCAUCUCUCGCGCUCUGGGUGUGCUGACACUGCAAUUUUCCAAAACACGAGAAAUUUGGCUGCAUAAUGUGUGGUAGUGGGGGACUAUACUUUUAUUCCUCCUUG
rnacentral:snRNA from 12 species